UAUAUUUUAGUGUAAAAUGCACAGUAAUUUUUGAAAUUACUAGGUAUAGUUUAAUUCUAUAAAAUAUAA
rnacentral:tRNA from 1 species